UACGGAGGAUCCGAGCGUUAUCCGGAUUUAUUGGGUUUAAAGGGUGCGUAGGCGGCCUAUUAAGUCAGGGGUGAAAUACGGUGGCUCAACCAUCGCAGUGCCUUUGAUACUGAUGGGCUUGAAUCCAGUUGAAGUGGGCGGAAUAAGACAAGUAGCGGUGAAAUGCAUAGAUAUGUCUUAGAACUCCGAUUGCGAAGGCAGCUCACUAAGCUGGUAUUGACGCUGAUGCACGAAAGCGUGGGGAUCGAACAGG
rnacentral:rRNA from 1 species